rnacentral:lncRNA from 1 species
ACAGUGUCCGUGGUUUGUAUCCAAUUGCCUUAAGGUAUCAAUACAUGUCCCAUAUUUCCAUGGAUAUUCCGCGCGUCAUAACCAUCGAUCUGUCCGAAACCCUCCAUAUACACGACCAUUGCUAGAGUCACUGUUUAUAAUUACUCAGAUGUAGAGGCUAUAAUAUGAGGUGUAUAUCCAUAAAGCAGCAAUAAAACCGUACUAUAAGCACAAUACGAUUACAAUAUGUGUCAAUAAUUAUACAAUACAAACACAAUAUACAUCCUUAAUGCUUGUAAUAUGAGGCCAAUAAACGUUUAAUAAGCACACCUCCACAUUACAGUACUUCAUAUUUAUACAAACUAAGUAAUUUCCCACUCAACGGUGAGAAUAAGAGGAAGGCGUAAACAAGGCACCAC